rnacentral:misc_RNA from 1 species
GAUGAAGAACGUAGCGAAAUGCGAUAAGUAAUGUGAAUUGCAGAAUUCAGUGAAUCAUCGAAUCUUUGAACGCACAUUGCGCCCGCCAGUAUUCUGGCGGGCAUGCCUGUUCGAGCGUCAUUUCAACCAUCAAGCCCCCGGCUUGUGUUGGGGACCUGCGGCUGCCGCAGGCCCUGAAAUGCAGUGGCGGGCUCGCUGUCACUUCGAGCGUAGUAGUUACAUCUCGCUCUGGGCGUGCUGCGGGUUCCGGCCGUUAAAAGCCUUAUUUACCCAAGGUUGACCUCGGAUCAGGUAGGAAGACCCGCUGAACUUAAGCAUAUCAAUAAGCGGAGGA